rnacentral:lncRNA from 1 species
GGCUAUAUCACUGUACUAUGCUGAUUUUAAGUCCUUUGGGUAUAAACUGAGGAGUGUGAUAGCGGGAUCAAAUGGAGAUUCCAUUCCAAAUUUUUCGAGGAAUCUGCACGCUGUUUUCCAUAGUAGUUACACCAAUUUGCAGUGCCACCAGCAAUGUAUGAGUGUACCUUUUUUCCCCACAUCCUCGCCAACACUUAUUGUUGCUCGUAUUCUUGAUAAUUGCCAUUCUGACUGGAGUAAGAUGGAAUCUCAGUGUAGUUUUAAUUUGCAUUUCUCUAAUUGCUAGAGAUGUUGAACAUUUUUUCAUGUAUUUCUUGACCCAUUGUAUUUCUUCUGUGAAGUGUCUGUUCAGUUCCUUUUCCUAUUUAUUUAUUGGGUUACUUGGGGAGUUUUUUGGUGUUAAGUUUUUUGAGUUCUUUAUACAUCCUAGAGAUCAAUGCUGUACAUGAGGUGCAGUGGCAAAGAUUUUCUCCCGUCCUGUAGGUUCUCUCUUCACAUUCUUGAUUGUUUCCUCCACCGUGAAGAAGUUUUUUACUUUUAUUCCAUCCCAUUUAUUGAUUCUUCAUUUUACUUCUUACACUUUAGGAGUCUUGUUAAGGAAGUCAGU